rnacentral:rRNA from 1 species
CCAAUAGCGUAUAUUAAAGUUGUUGCAGUUAAAAAGCUCGUAGUUGAAUUUCGGGAUUGACACAUCGGUCGUGCCUUAAGGGGUGUGAACUGGUGUAGUCAAUUUCUCACCUUCUGGAGAACCGCGAUGUCCUUAAUUGGGUGCCGCGAGGAACCAGGACCUUUACUUUGAAAAAAUUAGAGUGUUUAAAGCAGGCAUUUUUGCUUGACUACAUUAGCAUGGAAUAAUAAAAUAGGACGGCAUGAUUCUAUUUUGUUGGUUUCUAGGAUCACCGUAAUGAUUAAUAGGGAUAGUUGGGGGCAUUAGUAUUCAAUUGUCAGAGGUGAAAUUCUUGGAUUUAUUGAAGACUAACUACUGCGAAAGCAUUUGCCAAGGAUGUUUUCAUUAAUCAAGAACGAAAGUUAGGGGAUCGAAGACGAUCAGAUACCGUCGUAGUCUUAACCAUAAACUAUGCCGACUAGGAAUCAGACGAUGUUAAUUUUUUAAUGACUCGUUUGGCACCUUACA